AGCAUACAUCUCUAAUUUUAUUAUUUUGGUCUUUUCGUUGGAUUUUCCCUUUCUUCUUUUUUUCGGGUUAUCGCUCAGUUUUGAGCAGAGGUUUACAUUUUUUAAAAAUUUGCUUUCCAGCCCGCCUUGAUCUUCUAAGUGCGAGUUCAUCGUCCGAGAAAAAAAAAAAAUCUCUGGAAAGCAUCCAACGGAGUGGAAGCAGCAUGAAGGAAGAGCCGCUGGGCAGCGGCAUGAACGCGGUGCGGACGUGGAUGCAGGGCGCCGGGGUGCUGGACGCCAACACGGCGGCGCAGAGCGGGGUGGGUCUGGCCCGGGCUCACUUUGAGAAGCAGCCGCCUUCCAAUCUGCGGAAAUCCAACUUCUUCCACUUCGUCCUGGCCCUCUACGACAGACAGGGCCAGCCCGUGGAGAUCGAGAGGACAGCGUUUGUGGGGUUCGUGGAGAAGGAAAAAGAAGCCAACAGCGAAAAGACCAAUAACGGAAUUCACUACCGGCUUCAGCUUCUCUACAGCAAUGGGAUAAGGACGGAGCAGGAUUUCUACGUGCGCCUCAUUGACUCCAUGACCAAACAAGCCAUAGUGUACGAAGGCCAAGACAAGAACCCAGAAAUGUGCCGAGUCUUGCUCACACAUGAGAUCAUGUGCAGCCGCUGUUGUGACAAGAAAAGCUGUGGCAACCGAAAUGAGACUCCCUCAGAUCCAGUGAUAAUUGACAGGUUCUUCUUGAAAUUUUUCCUCAAAUGUAACCAAAAUUGCCUAAAGAAUGCGGGAAACCCACGUGACAUGCGGAGAUUCCAGGUCGUGGUGUCUACGACAGUCAAUGUGGAUGGCCAUGUCCUGGCAGUCUCUGAUAACAUGUUUGUCCAUAAUAAUUCCAAGCAUGGGCGGAGGGCUCGGAGGCUUGACCCCUCGGAAGGUACGCCCUCUUAUCUGGAACAUGCUACUCCCUGUAUCAAAGCCAUCAGCCCGAGUGAAGGAUGGACGACGGGAGGCGCGACUGUGAUCAUCAUAGGGGACAAUUUCUUUGAUGGGUUACAGGUCAUAUUCGGUACCAUGCUGGUCUGGAGUGAGUUGAUCACUCCUCACGCCAUCCGUGUGCAGACCCCUCCUCGGCACAUCCCUGGUGUUGUGGAAGUCACACUGUCCUACAAAUCUAAGCAGUUCUGCAAAGGAACACCAGGCAGAUUCAUUUACACAGCGCUCAAUGAACCCACCAUCGAUUAUGGUUUCCAGAGGUUACAGAAGGUCAUUCCUCGGCACCCUGGUGACCCUGAGCGUUUGCCAAAGGAAGUAAUACUCAAAAGGGCUGCAGAUCUGGUAGAAGCACUGUAUGGGAUGCCACACAACAACCAGGAAAUCAUUCUGAAGAGAGCGGCCGACAUUGCCGAGGCCCUAUACAGUGUUCCCCGCAACCACAACCAACUCCCUGCCCUUGCUAACACCUCGGUCCACGCAGGGAUGAUGGGCGUGAAUUCGUUCAGUGGACAACUGGCCGUGAAUGUCUCCGAGGCAUCACAAGCCACCAAUCAGGGUUUCACCCGCAACUCAAGCAGCGUAUCACCACACGGGUACGUGCCGAGCACCACUCCCCAGCAGACCAACUAUAACUCCGUCACCACGAGCAUGAACGGAUAUGGCUCUGCCGCCAUGUCCAAUUUGGGCGGCUCCCCCACCUUCCUCAACGGCUCAGCUGCCAACUCCCCCUAUGCCAUAGUGCCAUCCAGCCCCACCAUGGCCUCCUCCACAAGCCUCCCCUCCAACUGCAGCAGCUCCUCGGGCAUCUUCUCCUUCUCACCAGCCAACAUGGUCUCAGCCGUGAAACAGAAGAGUGCUUUCGCACCAGUCGUCAGACCCCAGACCUCCCCACCUCCCACCUGCACCAGCACCAACGGGAACAGCCUGCAAGCGAUAUCUGGCAUGAUUGUUCCUCCUAUGUGAAAGAAUUGCCUUGAAGAAUUGUAUUAAUGAAGAGGUUGGAUUCUGCUACAGAGAGUAAUCUGAUACAAGUCCCAGAGUGGAACUUUUAACUCAGGCCUUUUUAAGAGGAAUCACAAUAACUGCAGAUUUUUAAACAAACAAAAUCACCGACCUUGCAAAUACUGAAAUUGGAAGAGGGAUCUGCAAGUGCAGGGUGUUGGUAAAAGUUGUACCUCCCAAGUAUUUGUGGGAUAUAUUUAUUCUGUAUUGACAAAAGCAAAUCCACUUUUUCUUUUUCUUUUUAAGCUUAAUUCUGCAAUCAUUUGUCUUUUAUAAACCGUAAAGCUCUAUACAAGGGACACUAUAAAUAAGACUCCAUGUUUUAAUUUAUGAUGUUUUUAAAGCUGUGUAAAGGAAGGAUGAAGUGGUGAUAUUUACAAAAAAGUAAAAAAAAAAAAAGGAAAAAAAGAAAAAAAAAAGCUUGUAUGGGACAGAAUAGGAAUGCCAGUUAGAUUUUUUAGAAAAACUAAGGGUCGGCUUUUGCGCCUUAAAGCAUAUCAAAUGGUAGUUAGCUCAGACAGUGCAUUUUCAAUAUCUAACUUAACAUGCCACCCCUUAGCAGUGCAAGCUUAUUUAUCUCUUUUGUAUUGUUGUCUUAAGUAACUGUGUAAAUAAAUGCAGCCUGGAAAGUUAAAACGCGAUGUAAGUGAUCACAUUUUUCCCUGUACUCGAAAAUCCAGUGCCUCUAGACAGAUUGUUAAAACUGCAUAUUUAAAUCUGAUCUCAUUCUCUCCUUUUACUUAAGUCAGUUUCUUCUGAAGCCGAUGGCCUCUCGAGAGCUUGGUGGCACACAUACUGUGUGAGAAUCUCCUUUGAGACUUCGUGGAACAGGGUCCAGGCACAGAAUUCCACACUCUGCCCUCCAGUUAACAAGCCAAAACCUCACGUACGCUCCCCCAUUUGCAAGUUUAAAGUUUACUCGUCCUAAAUGCCGACUUCAUACCUAUCUUCCAAAAGUUGAUAAAAGCAAUGUGGCAGGUAUUUUCGAUUUUCCCAUUCAAGAUACUGCCUCUAUCAGUCGACCCUUACCAUUUGUAACAUAAUAGAUUAAAACAACAGGUUAAGUGCUUUGGAAUUAAGAGUUAAAGGGAACCGGGGGUGGGGAAAGGAAAAGAAGGUUGAGACCUCCAAAACAUAGUUUUCUGUUCUAUGGGAAUUUUUGCUCUCGUUAUCUGGGAAGUGUUCUUAAAAAUAAGAAUUAAUAGCAAAGAUGCAGCAAAGCUCUGAGGAUGCAUUUGCCUGAUAUUUUUUUCUUUGCUCUUGUGUUUUUGUAUGUAGUUAUAAAUACUGUAGAUUUUUUUUGUGAUUUUUUUGCCAAAGUUGUUGUUCUAUUUAUACAUUUUAAUGUCUUAAGACAUUUUUUCAAUAUCACAAAAAGAUUUUACUGCAUAUUUUGCAAAGAAAAAAAGCUCACUACCUUUAGCUUGCACAUACUUGCAAAGUUAAUUAAAAGGCUUUUUGUUUUAAAGGGGAUUUUGUAAAAUAUCCAUAUAAAUAAUGUAUUUAUCUUUCGAAUUUGUACAUUGCUUUUCCCUUCUUCCUCUUCCUUCCACCCCCAAUUUAUUUUAUUGUGUAUGUUUGCUAUGUGGAAAGUGCGUAUUUGUUUGGUCACCUACACUUGUAUUAGCUGUUUCAAUGUGAUUUUUAAACAUUUCAUUUAUAGUCAUUUUUAGUAUUGUUAUAAACCAUGCUUCAGUUUUUUUAAUUUCCACCCAAAAGUCAUUGUCUAUUUUUGUAUUAUUUGUAAGUUAAGAAGUUUUUUUUCCAAUAUAUGGCAAAAAAAAAAUAGUAGCAUAUUAUUCUUGUAGUAUUUAGUUCAGUAGAUUAAAAAAAAAAAUGUAUCCUUUGCUUUGGAAGCUUACAAAACAACCCUAAUGCUGUUUUACUCUAUUAAUAUGCAUGGAAUCUCUCCCUUUGGAGUGACGCAUUUUGUGCAUUAAAUUCUAGGGAGAAACUUCAUAGAAAUCAAUGAACAUACUUUCUUUCUUAAGUCUGCUUGUAUAUUUCCUCUGUCUUUCACAUAAAUAUAAACCAGCAGAUUGGAUGCCUUAACAAUGCAAAUCAUAUUCAUUUCACUUGUACAUUGUAACUGUGCACCAGAACUGUCAGUCAUCACUAACAUUCUAAGAAAAAAGAAAAAGAAAAAGAAAAAAAGAAAAAAAAAAAAACAAAGAAAUCGAAAAGCACAAAAGAACUGUUUUGUUACCUUAAGACAAUGUAACUUUUUCUAGUAGAGCAAGAAAUCAUUUACAACAAUGCUGCAACUGUGCAUGCCCCCAUAUGGAUUUUGCAAUGGUUUUCACUAGACUGUCAAGAGUGCGAUUUUUAUGGGUUGGGGUGGGUGGGGGAGGGGAGUUGUGGGAGGGUAAGGGAGGGAGGAAAGCUGUUUUUCAUGGUGAGAAAUAAUAAUGAUGACUAAUAAUAAUAAAAAAACUGGAAAAUGUAAGCAAGGUGGACGCAUUGCUUCUCGGUACUCAGAAAGGUUAUCUGAAUUUGCGUGGUAAGCGCCGGCCUGAAGAUGUACACAAGUUAAAGCCAUAUUUUGUCUGGUGAGCCCCUUAACUGUUUCUGAAGGAAUGAACGGUCAGCCAGGAAGGUGUCUGGCUUAGACCUUGACAACAGACACUACCCAUCUGUCAGCCAUGUGCAGUGGUUACAACUCUUCUUGAAAGUCCAAAGAGCCUUUAAAAUGUGUAUAAUUUGUGUUUUGUUGCUUCUAUUUCUAUUGAUUAGAUGAAAAGACAUUCUGGCCCUCUGAUCCUCUUUCUUCUCCACAAAAGUUUUACAAAUAAAAGAUGUUCCCCUUAAAUACAGAAUAUGGCUUUAAGAAGAAAAUGAAAUGAAGAAUUAAAUUAAGAUUUCAGUGUUGGGGGAAAAAUACAGCUUCUGGAUGACUGGAUUGCAUAACAUUGCCCUGGCCUCACAUUGUACUAGGAUGCAGCUUAAAUGAAGUCAUCUCUAAAUCUACUAACCUUUCACCUUCUUAUCAAAACUUUUUGAAUAGACACACACUGUACAGUUCAAUUGUUAGAGAACCUAACUACUGUAGAGAUUGUUAUAAUUUUUUUUUUUUGCAAAAAUUCAAGCUGUAAAAACUUUUCAACUUUCACAAUAUUUAAUUAAAGUUACUUCCUGUCUGUGA
rnacentral:sRNA from 1 species